AAUAAAUUCAUCUUUAACUUUUUAUCUAUAACGUUUGACUCUUCGUCUUAUUAAAAAAUUACGAUUAACAUUUUUGUUUCUAUUAGAUGAUAAAUCAUAAAUAGUAUUUUACGUGUGACUAAUUUAUUUAUAAUUUCUUGAAAUCUUUUCAAAUAAGACGGAUAAUGAAACGCGGAACACGGAAUGGUCUUAUU
rnacentral:pre_miRNA from 1 species